CUCAUUUUAUUCGUUCAUUCAUCGCGACUCUCUCUCUUCUCUCUCAUUGCAAACGGCGAAAGGAAAGGCGAUUCAUGCCUUGAUCGGAAAAUCGAAUCGAUUUACAACGAUUCCCAUGAAGUUUCCGGCUAAAAUUGGAGGUUUGUUGGUCAAUUAGCUUUAUGAUCGGCAACUCUUGGAUUUGACGCUUCGGUACUCACGAGAAACGACGGCGGAGGUAUCUUUUGGUGGGACAACGACGGUGGAGCUUUCUUCUGAAGACUUGAAGGGGAGGGUUUGGACCACCGGCUAACGAAUCGGAGAUGAGAAGGAUCAAUGGACAAAGGCGAAAUAUGUUGUCUCUGUGAUCAACAAGAAACUUGGUUCGUUGAAACCCCGAGUAGUUUUCAUCGAAGCAGCAAAGGAAGGUGAAGAGCCCAUCAGUUUUGGGGAUGAUGCUUCUCUUGUUAGUUACGGAGAUGGCUGGAAGUUAAAGACAGUGGUUGAUUUUGAUUUUCCUGGAACAGAGAGAUACAAUCUACCACAUCACUUUCCUUCUGUAAUAUCAAUGUUUGCUUUUGCAGGGUUCCAAAGAUCCAAAGUACACAAAGUAUUCAAAACCAGAAAUUGGAGAACAAAGUCUAAUUGGAGAUCCAAAGUACUCUUCUUUCUUUUUGUUUUGUUGUUGUAUUGAUAUUAGACCACAAGAUCAAAUUGAAACUAAAUAUAUUGAAUAAUUGUUUUGUCA